AUUUUAUGGAGAGUUUGAUCCUGGCUCAGGGUGAACGCUGGCGGCGUGCUUAAGACAUGCAAGUCGAACGGCCUUCUUCGGAA
rnacentral:rRNA from 1 species